rnacentral:rRNA from 1 species
GAUGAACGCUGGCGGCGUGCUUAACACAUGCGAGUCGAACGAUGAAGCUCAGCUUGCUGGGUGGAUUAGUGGCGAACGGGUGAGUAACACGUGAGUAACCUGCCCUUAACUCUGGGAUAAGCCUGGGAAACUAGGUCUAAUACCGGAUAGGAGCGCCUACCGCAUGGUGGGUGUUGGAAAGAUUUAUCGGUUUUGGAUGGACUCGCGGCCUAUCAGCUUGUUGGUGAGGUAAUGGCUCACCAAGGCGACGACGGGUAGCCGGCCUGAGAGGGUGACCGGCCACACUGGGACUGAGACACGGCCCAGACUCCUACGGGAGGCAGCAGUGGGGAAUAUUGCACAAUGGGCGAAAGCCUGAUGCAGCGACGCCGCGUGAGGGAUGACGGCCUUCGGGUUGUAAACCUCUUUCAGUAGGGAAGAAGCGAAAGUGACGGUACCUGCAGAAGAAGCACCGGCUAACUACGUG